rnacentral:lncRNA from 1 species
UUUUACACAAAAAGUAUGUUGAAUCUUUCAUCAACAGACUCUAAACCUUCGAUGCACAUCUAAAACCUUACAGCUCAAUGAUAAAAAGCAUGUCUCCAAGAGGCUCACUCCAGAUGACCUGUAGAUACUCUUGACUACAUCUUCUGUGAAGUUCCCCCAUGAAGCUGAAUCUCUAUGCCAGACACCAUGAAGACUGGGUUCAGAAAUUCUUUGUUUAGUGAGACACGCAGAGUCCCCAGUUAGUAUGGAAAGGUCUCAGGUAGCCCAAUUUGCAGUGCAAAACUUUCUCCAAAGUUAUAUAACACUCUUGCCUGGAAACUAGUUUCCUACUCAUUAACACCCAGGACAUCAGGUAGAAUUAGCAGAUCAUGAUUUGCCCAGAUGUCUGGCUUGUUCUGCCUCUAAUAGCCUGCACAUUCACCUACGGGGAAGGCCACAGGUGGUGAAAGCCACAGAGUAGAUACCCUCUCUCGGAAGGCCAAGUGUGAAGAAGAAACUGCAGCUGAGGCUUCCGUGGUCUGGUUCUGUUUACAACUGACGGAGGAGGGGAAAGGCAAGUGUUAUAUCAGGAUGCCUAAAUGA